UUCCUUCAAAAUCUCAUCAACAGCUAGAGAAACAAGAAGAGCACAAUUGACCAAAAAAAAAAACAAACUCCACUGCAUUACAUGCACAAAGAGAACUAGUAAUCUGACACUCACACAUAAACAGUCAGACGACGAAUAAGUUAAUGAUUUGUUAUUAUUCCUUGUUUGGUUUCAUCGUGAUUGCAAAGUGCGCAAUCCCAGAAGCUUCUAGCAGCACAAUCACCAAUAACUAUUCAGAAGGAAUCAAGCACAUAGCAACAACGAUCCAAAACAAACUACAGAAUCACCAGC
rnacentral:lncRNA from 1 species